UACGAAGGGGGCUAGCGUUGUUCGGAUUUACUGGGCGUAAAGCGCACGUAGGCGGAUCGUUAAGUCGGGGGCGAAAUCCUGGAGCUCAACUCCAGAACUGCUUUCGAUACUGGCGAUCUUGAGUCCGGAAGAGGUGAGUGGAACUCCUAGUGUAGAGGUGGAAUUCGUAGAUAUUAGGAAGAACACCAGUGGCGAAGGCGGCUCACUGGCCCGGUACUGACGCUGAGGUGCGAAAGCGUGGGGAGCAAACAGG
rnacentral:rRNA from 1 species